AGUGAACGCUGGCGGUAGGCCUAACACAUGCAAGUCGAACGGCAGCACAGAGGAGCUUGCUCCUUGGGUGGCGAGUGGCGGACGGGUGAGGAAUACAUCGGAAUCUACUCUGUCGUGGGGGAUAACGUAGGGAAACUUACGCUAAUACCGCAUACGACCUACGGGUGAAAGCAGGGGACCUUCGGGCCUUGCGCGAUUGAAUGAGCCGAUGUCGGAUUAGCUAGUUGGCGGGGUAAAGGCCCACCAAGGCGACGAUCUGUAGCUGGUCUGAGAGGAUGAUCAGCCACACUGGAACUGAGACACGGUCCAGACUCCUACGGGAGGCUGCAGUGGGGAAUAUUGGACAAUGGGCGCAAGCCUGAUCCAGCCAUACCGCGUGGGUGAAGAAGGCCUUCGGGUUGUAAAGCCCUUUUGUUGGGAAAGAAAUCCAGCUGGCUAAUACCCGGUUGGGAUGACGGUACCCAAAGAAUAAGCACCGGCUAACUUCGUGCCAGCAGCCGCCGUAA
rnacentral:rRNA from 1 species